UACGUAGGGGGCAAGCGUUAUCCGGAUUCAUUGGGUUUAAAGGGAGCGUAGGUGGUCUUAUAAGUCAGUGGUGAAAUCUCUGGGCUUAACCCAGAAAUUGCCAUUGAUACUGUAGGACUUGAGUAUAGUUGCCGUUGGCGGAAUAUGACAUGUAGUGGUGAAAUACAUAGAGAUGUCAUAGAACACCGAUUGCGAAGGCAGCUAACGAAACUAUAACUGACACUGAGGCUCGAAAGUGUGGGGAUCAAACAGG
rnacentral:rRNA from 1 species